rnacentral:misc_RNA from 1 species
UCAAACGUACUUUAAAUUACGACUGGCCUUGUGAAACCGAAUUUUUAUUGGUUAUUAUGGCGGAUCGAUAAAACAAACGCAAUAUUAUUAUUUAUUUCUCUUUGAGCGUUACACCCGGCUAUGCCGCAGUGUAAAAGAAGUUUACUAAGAACGUAUGGUGAUGCGAAAUGAUAAAACUCCACAGUCCAUCAGUUAAUCUGGCUUAUUCUUGAAGGUCAUUCAAAAUGGAGAUUUCUCGAUCUCAUGGCCAUCGAAAGCGUUAUUGUUGUUACUAUUGUAAUACAUAUUUUUACCAAGUAGAUGCAUGGCAACGUCACAACCGUAAGCACACUGGUGUUGAAAUAGAAUGUGAAGACUGUGGAGAUAUGCUAUCUGACCAUUUUGAGUUAAAAGUUCACCAACAAAAUUGUGAUGCAUCUCAAAUUUACACAGAAAAUACACAUAUGUCUUUUGAGGAAGAGUUUUCUAGCAACAAAAGCUUAUGUUCAGUUAAAGAGAAAUAUGUGCAUGAUACCCCUGAUAGUACUUCAAAACAAGAACUAUCAAAUAAUGAAUGUAUAAAAAGUGUAAAAAUAAACCCUUCUAAAGAAUUAGUUAAUAAAGUGGAUGAAAAAGAGGCUGAGCAAUGUUAUAAUCCGGCUUCAAACAUUGAACAGUUUAUUGGUGAGCAUAAAGUAAGCAGAGAAGAAAGUUACUCUGAGUUUAUGAUUGGUAUAGAUCACACUCAGCAUGUUGAUCUACCCGAACAACCUGGUAUCGAUUCUACAGUUUUAAUUAAAUCAGAGGAAAAUAAAGAAGUAAAUAGUGACAUUAGACAAGAAGAUUAUACAAAUAACCUAGAUUUAAACUCUUUUGAUAUUUCAACAGUAUCUCCAUCAAGCUCAAAUAUUGAUUCCCAAUCUAUAAAUGCAGAGAAUAAUGAGCAAAACAAAAAAUACCAACCUUACUUUUGCAAAAAUUGUGGUGCAAGAUUUACUAGAAAAGAUUCUGUUACAAGACAUUUAAAAAAAAGUACUUGCAGUGGUAAAUCACUUAUUGUUUGUGAUGUUUGUGGUAAAAUUUUUAUGGAAACACUCGAUCUUCAUCAACACUUUAAAACAGAGCAUAAAAAUAUGCCAUUUGCACCUAGAUUAAUAACUCAACAACUUCGGCCGUUUAUAGAGUUGUCACAAAAUUAUUAUCCAAAAUAUUUACUGAGUUCUGGUCAACAACCUAAGCCUCCUGAUCCUAUAUAUAGGUCAGUUGCACCUUCUGUUCAUUCUUUAUUUCACAAUCCAUACGCUUCAGCUACAAGUUAUGUACAACAAAAGGAAUCAUUUCAUGGAAGAAUAUUGACAGUAAUGCAGAAAGAAUUCCAUGAUCAAGAUGGAGCAAUGGCUAAAAAUGACUUGUUGUUAAAGCGUAAAAACGAGUUUAAAAGGUAUGGUAUGGAGUAUUUUGAAGAUAGAUCAAAUCAUAAGUACAUGAAAAUUGAUUCAGAAAAAAACGUAGAUCAGUAUAAUCAAACUCCUCUAAUUAAUAAUACCACAGGUAUAAGAAGCAUUAAUCUCAGUGAAUACACAAGCAGUGCUAUGAACUCUAAACAGUAUUAUGAUCAGCAUUACAUGAAAAAAAAUGACCAUAACUUUUCUAUUAAAGACAAUAUUUUACGGUUACAUCAAUGUAAAUUUUGUGGUCUUGAAUUCCCAAGAUUUGACUAUUUAUUGACACAUUUAAGAAAGCAUAAAGAGAAAUCAGAAAUUGAAAAAGGUGAUGUGGAGGAAAGUCCUGUAGCUAAUAUUAAUGAACAUGAAAAAAGUGUCUUAACAUCUAUAACAAAUGACUCUUCCUCAGAUGAUCCUUCAGAUAAUCAUGCUAAACAAAAAAGUAGCUUACAAAAAUUGCCCAUCACUACUGAAAACAUUAAUCUUGAAACACCUAACAAUAGCAAUCAGUUUUCGUUACAAAAUAAAAAACUUCAUCAGAAUAAUAGUAAUAUUCAGCUUACUAGAUCUAAAACAGAAAAUUCUAGUGAGGCUAUUACCCCUGGAACAGAUGGAAAGUUCCGUCCUUUUAUUUGUGAGAAUUGUGGCCAGAGAUUUACGCGAAAAGAUAGUCUUGUGCGUCAUGCAAGAAAACAAACUUGUUUUGAAGAAGCUUUUGAUUUAAAGUGUCAAGAGUGUGAUAAGAAUUUCCGUUAUCUUAAAUGCCUUACUCAGCACCAAGAGCUUGUGCAUGGAUUUAAGGUAAAUCGUUUAAGUAAUCUUAGCAGUGAUGAAGAUGGCUCUGAAUCAGAAAGAUCAGAAAAAAGUGAAGAAAAUGAAAAGCAGUUAGAACCGAUGGGUGCCUCAAUGGUGGAGCUUGACUCAAUAACCCGGCAAGAAAAGUACAAGUCUUUCCACAACGAGACUCCAAAUUCAGUCUCACAACAACAUGAAGAAACCUAUAGUACUCAAAAGUUUGAUGAGAAGUCAAUUAAUCAAAAAUCUAAUGGAAGUGAAUAUAGUUCCUCUUUCGGUGUGUCUAUGCUCCCACGUCCUUUUCAAUGUGAUUAUUGUGGUGAUAGAUUUGCACAUCGACAUUCCUUAAAACGUCACGUACGUAGACAUCUUGGCAUAGGAAUCCCUUGUCAUGAGUGUGGGAAGCUCUACAGAGACCAAUCAGAGUGGAGGAGACAUCAAAGAAGCAUCCAUAAUCGACAUUACGAAAAGUCUGAUGUUCCUAAUAGAAUAAGUUUUAAUGAUGGAGUUGACCAAGGUUUAAUUGGUAUAGUCACUAACUCUGAUUCUAUCAAUAAAGCAGACGAUAGCUCUAGCGAUAACAGUGAUAUUGAUACAGAUAUGAUAAAUGCACAUAAAAAAAAUGAACCAGUAUACACUGAUAAAUAUAAAGUUAACACAAUAUUGCAAGAUAACUCCGCAGCAAAACGUUUUCUUGAAAAACCUGUGGUUAUUUUGAACACUGACUCUAAAGAUGAACAUUCGCAUCAUUCUCAAACUGGGAAUGAUAUCAACAGUCGAAAAAGUGUUCUUGAUAGUUAUUUGUUUUCAGCUGAUCCUGUUGAUACAGAUAAGAUGAAUCCACCUACCUGCCUAACAUAACAAGUUUGACUUAAACUACAGUUUGAAAACUAGUUUGAAUGGUGCUAAUUUCACUUUACUAUAAGGUGUUAAAGCUGAUCUUGCGUUGUAUCAUUUAGUUGUCGCAUGGCUGCAAGAGACAAAGGUAGAAGUCUGUAUACAAUGAGAUAAACGCUACGAUCUAUAAAUUUGAAGUAAAUUUGUUCGAAUGUGAUCCAUCUGCUUUAAGCACUUUAGUAAGUAGGGUAUGGACUUUUUAUCCGUCGCAUGUCUCAGUUAAGAUAUUUGUUGGCUGAAACACAAUUGUAAUUGUAGUAGUAAACACAAUUGUAGUUGCAA